rnacentral:rRNA from 1 species
CCCCACUGCUAUCGGGAUGGGACUAAGACAUGCUAGUCGAGCGUCUCCAAGCUAUGGAAGAGACGCGGCACACAGCUCAGUAACACGUGGCUAACCUGCCCUUGGGACAAGGACAACUCCGGGAAACUGGGGCUAAUCCCUGAUAAGUGAGAACUCCUGGAAUGGAUUCUCGCUCAAAGGACGUUUAGACCAUGCUUCUAGGCGUCGCCCAGGGAGGGGGCCGCGACCGAUCAGGUUGUUGGUGAGGUAACGGCUCACCAAGCCUUUAACCGGUACGGGCCGUGAGAGCGGAAGCCCGGAGAUGGGCACUGAGACAAGGGCCCAGGCCCUACGGGGCGCAGCAGUCGCGAAAACUCCGCAAUACACGAAAGUGUGACGGGGCCAUCCCGAGUGCCAUCCGCUGAGGAUGGCUUUUCCCCAGUGUAUAAAGCUGGGGGAAUAAGGAGAGGGCAAGCCUGGUGUCAGCCGCCGCGGUAAUACCAGCUCUCCGAGUGGUGGGGAUGUUUAUUGGGCCUAAAGCAUUCGUAGCCUGCUUGGCAAGUCCUCCGUUAAAUCCAACGAUUUAAUCGUUGGUCUGCGGGAGAUACUGUUGGGCUAGGAGGCGGGAGAAGCCGACGGUAUUCUCGGGGUAGGGGUGAAAUCCUGUAAUCCCGGGAGGACCACCAGUGGCGAAGGCGGUCGGCUAGAACGCGCUCGACGGUGAGGGACGAAAGCUGGGGGAGCGAACCGGAUUAGAUACCCGAGUAGUCCCAGCCGUAAACGAUGCGGGCUAGGUGUUGGGGUGGCUACGAGCCACCUCAGUGCCGCAGGGAAGCCAUUAAGCCCGCCGCCUGGGGAGUACGGCCGCAAGGCUGAAACUUAAAGGAAUUGGCGGGGGAGCACCACAAGGCGUGAAGCUUGCGGUUC